GAGCUGGGCUGAGCUGGGCUGAGCUGGGCUGUGCUGGGCUGGACUGGGCUGAGCUGGGCUGUGCUGUGCUGGACUGGG
rnacentral:miRNA from 1 species